AUUGAACGCUGGCGGCAUGCCUUACACAUGCAAGUCGAACGGCAGCACGGGUGCUUGCCCCUGGUGGCGAGUGGCGAACGGGUGAGUAAUACAUCGGAACAUGUCCUGUAGUGGGGGAUAGCCCGGCGAAAGCCGGAUUAAUACCGCAUACGAUCUACGGAUGACAGCGGGGGACCUUCGGGCCUCGCGCUAUAGGGUUGGCCGAUGGCUGAUUAGCUAGUUGGUGGGGUAAAGGCCUACCAAGGCGACGAUCAGUAGCUGGUCUGAGAGGACGACCAGCCACACGGGGACUGAGACACGGCCCAGACUCCUACGGGAGGCAGCAGUGGGGAAUUUUGGACAAUGGGCGAAAGCCUGAUCCAGCAAUGCCGCGUGUGUGAAGAAGGCCUUCGGGUUGUAAAGCACUUUUGUCCGGAAAGAAAUCCUUGGCCCUAAUACGGUCGGGGGAUGACGGUACCGGAAGAAUAAGCACCGGCUAACUACGUG
rnacentral:rRNA from 1 species